GUUAAUUUAUUUGUUUAUUUGUGGGACUGCUAUAAUGAUAUCCACUUAAAUCUAACUAUAACGGAAUUUUGUAUAGUGGUUCUCUGAUUUAAACUUGGAUCUUAUCCUUUUCAGCUGUCAUUUCAUUAAAAUCACCACUUUCUCGAAAUCCUAAUGUUGUCAUGGAAGGCUCUGUAGGGGCUGACCUUGAAGUCUCUGAAAGCUGAAUGCUCGGCAAAAGACUGCGGCUCUUUUGGUAUUCAGGGAGAAGAGAAAACAGGCUCCGUCUAAGAGUUUUUGACCUGGUCUGCCUGGUGUGUGGACAUAUUUCAAUUACCUGGGUUAUUCAAACCAAAAUUGGUUGGUAAUAGAAUAUGGGGAACAAUAGGGUAUUAUGACUUGGGAACAAAGGAUACUACAGGUUUUGACUGGUCACUGAGCAUAUCAUUUUCUUUUGGGCACAGGCUCUUAUUUCCUUAUAAAAUCGGAGAAUGAGUUCCUGUCUUCACUUCUAAAUUAACCCUCUUAAUUGCCGUUGUUUACCCACAGGGACCAUCAUGGUAGAUGGCUUGAGAGGGUGUCCUUGCUCCAAUGGUGGGCUGGUAAGGAAACAGGAGCAAGGCAGAAGCAAACCAUAACUCUUCUAGGAUUUAUUCUUAUUUUGCUUUGGUCUAUUUAUAUAAAUAUCUGAAUCAGUGAGAACCAGCCGCUUCGAAUACAUGUAUGCAUCUUUGGAUUUGCCGACAGAUAAAACAUUGCGUUGGGCUGUCUUCUGUCAAGUUCUCUCUGUCCUUAUGGUGUACAUAAAGGUGUACAUAUUUAUGGGGUUCAUGAAAUGUUUUGAUACAGGCACGUAAUGUGAAAUAAUUACAUCCUAGUGAGUGUGGUAUCCGUCCAUCCCCUCAAGAAUUUAUCCUUUGAGUUAUAAACAAUUCAUUUAUACUCUUUUAGCUCUUUUAAAAUGUACAAUUAAGUUAUUGACUAUAGUCAUCUUGUUGUGCUAUCAAAUAGUAGGUCUUAUUCUUUCGAUUUUUUUUGUGCCUAUUAACCAUCUCCACUUCUUUCUUAAUUUGGAACAGUUCCUUGAAGCUACAGAAAUAUUGUCUAGCAUGAUUAGGGAAGCACAGGAGGUAAAAAUACAUUGUUCAGGGAUCAGUUAUUGUCUUGUACAAGGUCUAGAAUCUAACAGGUUGCAAUCCGAGUGCAGAAUUUUUGACUGUACUUGCCUAUGAAGCUCCCACUUCCCCCUAAGACUCUUCCUUCCUGAUACUCAUCAUUCAUUUUGCGGACACUGCAGGAGGGGUCUGCAGUCCCAUUGGAGCUCUUGGCAAAUUGUAAUGCUCAGGACGGCACAGAUGUCACGCAAGGUCUUAGGGAGACCAGCCUUUCCCAUUCAAGUGCCCACAGCUCUUUCCCCAGCGGUCACCUUCCUCAGAAAUGGCCUUUAACACCGCCACCUCACCCCAUCCCCCUCCACUCUUGGGAAGCAUAAGUCUAGCAGUGGUAUCAGGCCUGAAGAAAGGAGGCUGAAGAUAGGCACAUGGCUUUGCUAAGUUAGCUUUUAUAUCCUGAGUGGCUGCCUUAGAAAGUGUCCUUGCCCAGCUUUCUGAACCUGAAGAACUUUGUAGAUUGAAAACUGUAGCUUGUGGACCCCUCUCUGUGGAGAUCAGCAUCUCAGUAUCCAGGGGGAAGUCAUCUCUUCACCCAAAGCUUCUGCUAGCACAUCAAGAGGCCCGGAACCCCGCAGUCCUGAAUGCUAACCAGUAGAGACAAGGGAGGAAUUCAUUUCUGUUUGUGUUCAACGUAGACUGAGCAGGAAGGGCCAGGUGUUUUACGGCUCUUUGGAGUUAGCAGCUUGAUGGCUGUGAUUUGGUAAAAACGAUCGGAAAUGCCUUCAGCACGGUGAUCAUUACAUGCAAGUGUUGCGAAGCGUUAGGAAAGGGAAUUUUUUUUUUUUUUUUUUUUUUUUUUAGGUGAGGGAAUUUCCCAUUGAGGAAGACCCCUGCUUCGUUUUUAGACUCAGCCUAUCAGUCAACUGAUUUGGCUGUGCAUGUAAAUACUUGAGUAUAAACUGCUGCCCCCUGCUACCUGCAGGCUGUCAUGUUGGUCAUCAAAGGCAGGAUCCUUCUAAUGAGGGAUUAGCUGGAUGCCUAAAUGCGGGACCACCUACUCUGUUCACUGUCUUAAUUAGCUAGAUGUUUGUUAGAGCUCAUGCAAAUUAUUUUCUGUAAGCAGACAGAUUUAGUGUCAUAUCUAAGGAGUGACAUCCAGGGUUUUGUCAGACAUCCAUUAAAAUUCUUUUUUUUUUUUUUUUUAAAUAUUUGAGAUGGGGUCUCACGAUGUUGCCCGGGGUUGUUCUUGAACUCCUGGGCUCAAGUAAUCCUCCCACCUCAGCCUCCCAAAGUACCGAGAUUACUGGUGUGAGCCACCGUGCCCAGACGCUGUUAACAAGUAUGAACAGAUUCGAUAUUUUCAGUCUAAUCUUCAGUGGUAAUGAUAAUAAAACUUCUUAACUUUCAUUCCUAAUACAGUAGUGGCUAAAACUUGAUUUUAAAAGUUUUUUCCAGAAUUUGGUCCAGAUGAAAAGUUUCUUUCACUUUGUGAACCUUUAGAACGCUGGGCUGCAUCAUAUGUUGUGACUUCAAAGCUAGAAUAACCUCACUUGGUUUCAGUUUUUGAGCCAAAGGACCCAUUAACAGAAAUAAAACUUUUCUUCUUGUGAACAUAUAUAAGCUGGCCACAUUGGUAGAUACCAGUGAAAUGUAUUUUGGGACUGACACUUGAAUUUUCUAUUGGUAUUUAUGUCACAAAAUCACCUCUCUAAGGUUUAUUACAUGGAGAUACACACACACACACACACACACACACUUUUAUAUCAAAAUGUAUAUAUUUUGAGGUAUAAAAAGUACGUGCUCAAGGUAUCAGUCACUCCUAAAUUUGUUUUCCUUGAAACAAAAUGAAGGUAUCAAAUUUCAUGCAGGGAAUCCCAAAGUGUUAUCAUGGCGUGAUGUUGAAAUUGAUGGUCUUAGCUUAGAGAGCCUACUUUUUAAAACUUGGGGUCCUGUUUCUAAAUCAUGUGUUGAAAUUACAGUGUGAACUGGACUUGCCAUACUCUUUGAUCCUGCAAAUCAUCACCGUGAUGACCUCCUAUCUGCUGCAAGUUCGACCCAUUCUACACUAAUACAAGAACAUUACUUUUUCUUCAUGUAGAGAAGGGUGUUCAUUCCUAAGACUUUAAAUCCACACUUCCCAUUUAUGGAGUACACCGGCUUCCUUUACUCCUUUGGUUCUUUGUUUUCUUUUUCGUACCUAGAUGUUACUAAAUUUUGCCUUUGAGCCUAAACCAUGCUGUUGAUGUUUUUUUUUUUUCCCCCACUUAUUCCGAAAGGUCCCAUAAAUCUGAGGCCAUAGCUAACUCAGAUUUAGUCAUUUUCUUGGGUAAAACAUACUCAUAUGAAAUCAUUACACUUAGGAUCUUGAAAUGCAUGAUUAGUUUCCUUUCUGAUUGUUGACAAGACAAACUGGUGGGAUCUUGGCAUUUAUCUUUUUAAGAACCUGGUGCUCAUUAAGGAAAGGAAAAUAUUCUGAAAUAAUCGAAGUAACCUUUUGGGCAUUGAAACUCCAUUUUGAAUUAAAAACAUUUGUGUCUGCUAUUCUCUUAUGCUAAAUUAUAUCCAGGUAUUAUAAGUAAAAUUAUUUGGAAGUUACUUUUUCUAAGAAACUAUGGAGAUUUAUUGACAAUAUUAGAAAGAGUCCUUAGCUGAUAAUUAUAUAAAAAUUGAGAAUUAGUACCUUAUGACUUAACCAUUUUACACUGAAAUAUUAUUGGACAUUGAAUGUACAUGGAAAUCACAUGGUCAAAGUAUUUGAGAAACAAGUAUCUCAAGGAAGAUACCAGUUUAAAACAUUCAAAUGACCUUCAUCUCAUAAUUUGGUAAUCUCAUGUAAAGUACUUUGGAUAGGGGUGUGUAUCUGUAUACAUACAUUUUAAAAAUAGAUUUGUAAUCACGUAUACAGUA